rnacentral:rRNA from 1 species
UACAGAGGGUGCAAGCGUUGUUCGGAAUUAUUGGGCGUAAAGGGCGCGUAGGCGGUUCGGCAAGUCUCUAGUGAAAUCUCUGGGCUCAACUCAGAGUCUGCUGGGGAAACUGCCGGGCUUUGAGUGUGGGAGAGGAGAGUGGAAUUCCCGGUGUAGCGGUGAAAUGCGUAGAUAUCGAGAGGAACACCUGGCGGCGAAGGCGGGUUGCUGGGCUGACACGUGACCGGCUGAUGCGCGAAAGCCAGGGGAGCGAACGGG